rnacentral:ncRNA from 1 species
UAAGUAUUUAAUUAUGGUACAUUAUAAUUGGCUAGAAAAUCUGUUUAUAUGCUUAUUUUUGUAUGUUAAAAAUUUAAUCUAUAGGAUUAUAUUUAUUUUAUUUGCAGUUUUUUAUUUUAAUAUUUUAAUAAUUUAAGAUUUAGAGAUUUUAUUUAGAAUUGUAAAAAGUUGUGCCAGCAUAAGCGGUUAAACUUCUGAUUCAAGUUAAUUCUUUCAAUCAAGCAUUUAUUGGUUUUAUUUAAUUAAAUCUUUAGAUUUUUAGGUAAAAUUUUAAUCUAAAUUUGAUUUUGGUCAAUAUUAUGUGAAAAUGGUAUAUUAAACUAGGAUUAGAUACCCUAUUAUUUCCUAUUGUAAAAAAAAAUUAUUAUUAAUAGUUAAGUUCUUUAAAUUAAAAUAAUUUGGCGGUAACUUAAUCUUUUAAGAGGAACCUGUUUUUUAAUCGAUAAUCCACGAUUGGUCUUACUUUAGCUUUUCUUAUAUACCUCUGUUAUUGAAUGUCUUAUUAGAGAAUUUUCUUUAAUUAUUAUUUAAUUAAUAUCAAGUCAAGGUGUAGAUAUGUUAAAGUUAAAAUGGGUUACAUUUAAAUUAUUUAUUGGAUGGAGAAUUUUUAUUUCUUUUGAAAUCGGAUUUUAAUGUAAAUUUUUUAUUAAAUUUUAUUGUUGAUUUAUGCUCUAAGUUAUGUACAUAUCGCCCGUCACUCCUAUUUAUAAGUAGGAUAAGUCGUAACAAAGUAAUUUUAUUGGAAAAUGAAGUUUGAUUAU